rnacentral:rRNA from 1 species
GACAAAUUCACCAAGUGGAUCGAAGCGAAGCCAAUCAGGAAGUUGAAUGGUCCGACUGCUGUGACCUUCAUCGCAGAUAUCACCGUCCGGUAUGGUGUACCACACAGCAUCAUCACCGACAACGGCACCAACUUUGCCAAAUGCGCCUUGGCCCAUUUCUUCGCGACACAGGGCAUCCGGCUGGACUUAGCGUCCGUUGCCCAUCUGCAGUCAAACGGCCAAGUUGAGCGAGCAAACGGCCUUAUCUUGUCCGGCAUCAAGCACCGACUGGUCGAGCCUCUGGAGCGCUCGGCUGGCUGCUGGAUCGAUGAGCUGCCGGCCGUCCUUUGGAGCCUCCGUACCACUCCGAACAAGUCAACCGGCUUCACGCCUUUCUUCCUCGUGUAUGGUGCCGAGGCCGUCAUCCCAACUGACAUCGAGUUGGACUCACCUCGCGUCACCAUGUACAUGGAAGCGGAGGUGAAGGAAGCACGAGAAGACGGCGUCGAUCUGCUGGAAAAGGGCCGGCUGUUGGCACUCAGCCAGUCUGCCAUCUACCAGCAGAGUCUGCGCCACUACCACAGUCGGAAGGUCAAGCCAAGAUCCUUCCAAGAGGGAGACCUUGUGCUCCGGCUAAUCCAGCGAACAGCCGGCCAGCACAAGCUCUCGGCCCCUUGGGAAGGCCCUUUCAUCAUCAGCAAAGCCCUGGGCAGUGACUCCUACUACCUGAUCGAUGCACAGAAGCGCAGGGCACGCAAGAGGGAUGACUCCGGCAAGGAAACAGAGCGCUCAUGGAAUGCAAACCUCCUUCAAAGAUUU